GCUGAGCCUCGCUGAGAUGUGGGGGUGGGAGGUAGAAGGCUGGCCCUCAGGAGGAAGGCCGGUUCUUUGACCAGGUUCUCUGUGGGGAAGUCAGGCCUAGAGAGCAAAGCCCAGAGCUUGAGCACAUAGUGAGCAAAGGAAGGGGCCGAGGUCUUCCACCCGGCUCUGGGUGUGGUAGGUGAGGUCCAAGCUUGUGGCUCCAGGUAUUCCAGCUGUUUCUGCUGAGGGUUUGGAUACAGAGCCUCCCUCCCUUAAUUCUUAGUCUGGUCAACCAAAGCUCACAAUCCCGCACAGCUUUCUUGGAUGGGACACUACUAUAGAAUAUAAAACUUUCUUUAGUAAGGCUUGUGCUCCUUGUGAGGUAUCCUGAAACUUCUCUUUCCUCAAAGUCUGGUCAAUGAACAAGUUAUUUAAAUACCAAACAGUUUCUCUGGUGUGAGAAACAAAGUGUAAAUAAGGACUAAAAGGCAGAUUUUGUAACCACUGGUUCAAAGGAUAGAUCUGAAGAAUGAACAAAUCUAUAAAUCAUCAAUAUUGAAAUGAAAAUGAAGGCCAAAGUGUAGAAUGUGAAAUUUAAACGGAUGUGGAAUGGAACCUUCUUCCACAGUGGGGGAACUGAAGUCAGUUAAACUUAUACUGGAUAAAAUGUGCAUGUCCAUAGACAUACACCACCUACAGAGAUGUUCAAACAGCUUCCCUAAAUCAGGAACAGAUAAUUGGGUGACUUCAAUGCUUACUUUUCCACUGAAAUACAAAUUUUCCCCUACAAUAGCAGUAAGGCAAAACUUGUUAAAUAUCCAAGGGCCUCAUCAGACAGGAUCUCAAAUAACACACUGAGUUGGAAUUGUUAGUUCUAGACUUUGAGUAAAGGAGGUUCAUUAAGCUGAGUGUCAGGAUCCUUGCAUUGGAGAGGCAGGG
rnacentral:lncRNA from 1 species